GAUGAACGCUGGCGGCGUGCCUAAUACAUGCAAGCCGAGCGGACCAAAGAGAGCUUGCUCUCUGAGGUUAGCGGCGGACGGGUGAGUAACACGUGGGUAACCUGCCUGUAAGACGGGGAUAACUUCGGGAAACCGAAGCUAAUACCGGAUGAUAAAGAGAAACGCCUGUUUCUUUUUUGAAAGUCGGCCUUGUGCUGACGCUUACAGAUGGGCCCGCGGCGCAUUAGCUAGUUGGUGAGGUAACGGCUCACCAAGGCGACGAUGCGUAGCCGACCUGAUAGGGUGAUCGGCCACACUGGGACUGAGACACGGCCCAGACUCCUACGGGAGGCAGCAGUAGGGAAUCUUCAGCAAUGGACGAAAGUCUGACCGAGCAACGCCGCGUGAGCGAUGAAGGCCUUCGGGUCGUAAAGCUCUGUUGUCAGAGAAGAACAAGUACCGGAGUAACUGCCGGUACCUUGACGGUACCUGACCAGAAAGCCACGGCUAACUACGUGCCAGCCGCCGCCGUAACAC
rnacentral:rRNA from 1 species